AACGAACGCUGGCGGCAGGCUUAACACAUGCAAGUCGAGCGCCCCGCAAGGGGAGCGGCAGACGGGUGAGUAACGCGUGGGAACGUGCCCUUUGGUUCGGAACAACUCCGGGAAACUAGAGCUAAUACCGGAUAAGCCCUUCGGGGGACAGAUUUAUCGCCAAAGGAUCGGCCCGCGUCUGAUUAGCUAGUUGGUGAGGUAAUGGCUCACCAAGGCGACGAUCAGUAGCUGGUCUGAGAGGAUGAUCAGCCACACUGGGACUGAGACACGGCCCAGACUCCUACGGGAGGCAGCAGUGGGGAAUAUUGGACAAUGGGCGCAAGCCUGAUCCAGCCAUGCCGCGUGAGUGAUGAAGGCCUUAGGGUUGUAAAGCUCUUUUGUCCGGGAAGAUAAUGACUGUACCGGAAGAAUAAGCCCCGGCUAACUUCGUGCCAGCCGCCGCGGUAA
rnacentral:rRNA from 1 species